GACGGAGGGUGCAAGCGUUGUUCGGAAUUACUGGGCGUAAAGGGCGCGUAGGCGGUUUGCUAAGUUCGGUGUGAAAUCCCCCGGCUCACCUGGGGAACGGCGCUGGAAACUGGCAGACUUGAGUACCGGAGAGGAGGGUGGAAUUCCUGGUGUAGCGGUGAAAUGCGUAGAUAUCAGGAGGAACACCGGUGGCGAAGGCGGCCCUCUGGACGGAUACUGACGCUGAGGCGCGAAAGCGUGGGGAUCAAACAGG
rnacentral:rRNA from 1 species